GUACGCGAGCUGGGUUCAGAACGUCGUGAGACAGUUCGGUCCCUAUCUGCUGUGGGCGUUGGAGAGUUGAGAGGAGUCAUCCCUAGUACGAGAGGACCGGGAUGAACGUGCCUCUGGUGUAUCUGUUGUCCUGCCAAGGGCACCGCAGGUUAGCUACGCACGGAACGGAUAACCGCUGAAAGCAUCUAAGCGGGAAGCCGUCCUCGAGAUGAACUCUCCCAUCCCUUUGAGGGAGUAAGACCCCUGGUAGACCACCAGGUUGAUAGGCCGGCGGUGGAAGUCCAGUAAUGGGCGUAGCCGACCGGUACUAAUGGUUCGAGGGCUUGACGGA
rnacentral:rRNA from 1 species